GACGAACGCUGGCGGCGUGCUUAACACAUGCAAGUCGAACGAUGAAAGCUGGAGCUUGCUCCGGCUGGAUUAGUGGCGAACGGGUGAGUAACACGUGAGCAAUCUGCCCUUGACUCUGGGAUAACUCCGAGAAAUCGGUGCUAAUACCGGAUAUGACCCUUGGCGGCAUCGCUGGGGGUGGAAAGUUUUUCGGUCAAGGAUGAGCUCGCGGCCUAUCAGCUUGUUGGUGAGGUAAUGGCACACCAAGACGACGACGGGUAGCCGGCCUGAGAGGGUGACCGGCCACACUGGGACUGAGACACGGCCCAGACUCCUACGGGAGGCAGCAGUGGGGAAUAUUGCACAAUGGGCGCAAGCCUGAUGCAGCAACGCCGCGUGGGGGAUGACGGCCUUCGGGUUGUAAACCUCUUUUAGCAGGGAAGAAGCGAAAGUGACGGUACCUGCAGAAAAAGCACCGGCUAACUACGUGCCAGCCGCCGCGGUAA
rnacentral:rRNA from 1 species